AUCUGCUUAAGGGAGAUGAGAGACCUAUGUUUUCCACACAACAUCGCAUGGCGCCGUCUAUGGGAAUCGGGCAAAGGCGGUGGCUCUGGCUUUGCCAUCGUUGACAUUACGACACCACUCCGGACUACGACAAUCUCAGUUAUGAAGAAUUUGUUAUGAUGAUGAUGGCCAGUUCAUUAAUGGGCGUCGAAGGCAGGAUGUCUGCCACAGGAGAUGAUCGAGAAUGCUGGUGGCAUGUAUCCAAAGAUGAACCCUAUCCUUAUGCGCCAAGCGCCUAAUCAAGCAACGAUGAGCAUCAAGGGAAUAUCACGAUUGUCAGAAACCACCAUGACUUCAGAUAAGCAACUUUUAGUCCCUCUUUCUCGUCCCUGUGGAGCCAAAUAGUCGAAUCACGAUAUUGAUCAAGGGUCAAGACUUAAUUUUUGCCGUUAAGUUUUUAACCCUCUGCCAGUUUCUUGUGAAGAGCCUUCCUAUAUUUUUCUAGUGAACUUGGGGGUCAUGAAGGUUUCCAAAAAAGGUCAGAAAAGAUGAUUUUGGGCAGUUCCAUUUGUUUCGAAAUCAAUUUCCCAAGUAGGUUGGAACCGUGCCGCUUGGAUAAGAGAAGUUCUCUCGAGGGACGUUGAGCAGUGUGCUCUUGGAAGGAUGAUUCGUAUCCUCAAUGAGUUGGGGAUGAGGGAUACGGUGCCAAUGCUGGGGUCUUUAUUACCCACGCGGCGCGCCCUACGGGCAUAUCGCGGCUGUUAACUACUGGGGAGUGGUUCUCCGCUGUCCCUCUUGCAUCCUCAGCGUGCUAGGGUCCCUACUCUCUGUAAAAGCUUUCAUUCUUCCCAAGCGUUUCGUCCAUGCAUUGCUCAUGACUACUGACGCAAACAUACGGAAUGGAGAUCGAGCGCUGUUCAGCAGUCUCAAUGUUCUCGUCGCUUGUUGACCACGAAUUUGAUGCUUUUGUCGAUGAGCACCAAGGAUUAGCUACAGUCUUGCAGCUCCCAAAAUCCUCGUCACUUAGCUUAGCGAGGACAACGAAGGCAUUGUUGUUUUUGACACUUGCACAUACAGUUAACGCCGUGUCGCUCUCUCUUGCUGCAGGGUAAUUUCUAAGAUCACUGCCUCAACGCCUCGCUUGAUAAUGAGCAGGAGUCGGUUAAUUAGUCGCUUGUAUCAGCAGAUCACAGUGGACUGCGGACCACGCGACUUUUAUCUUCGAAACGUAUCGGCUGAUAAGACUUUCCAUGCUUCUCCAUCGCGCCAAAUGACUUUUUCACUUCCAUCUGCCUGUAGGCUUUUCAUAGUGAACCCUUCCCUUCAGAGAAUCACAGGAUGCAAGAAUCUAAAUAAAUCACUAAGAAUCACCAGAAUCUUUUGGCUCAACGAAGAAAAAAUAUGAAAAUAUAGGGGCCAUGCCUAUAUCGUUGUAUUAGACCCAUGGACCUUCCUUAUGACCGAAGAAGAAAGAUGAAAAGUUUUACUUCAUUCGUUUACGUUUUAAUUGCAGUUUCCAACUUUAUCAAAUACUUUAUAAAAGUUUUAGGGUAAAUUACGUAUAUAGAAUCAUGUUGUUAACUCAUUUACCCUCCUUCUCUGUCAGGAUUAAAGCUGCAGAAAACUAGAUAGUAUUGCUCCAUAUUCCCCUCCUCCUCUUCUUGACACCCAAGGCAACCACAAGAAGAAGAAUAUACAUGUAAUCCGAUCAAUAUAUACGUCUAAUGAUACGAAGUAGAGCCCCAAUGUAUACGUCUAAGAAAAAACAUGUUUGUUGGAAAUUCACUUGGGCUUUGUCCACAAGUGAUGACCUUUGAUCUUUUUUCACUCUUGGACCGGCCGAUUAAGUCUAUUCUGUUCAGGCCCAAUUCCUUUGUUCCAAGUCUAGUCCAUAUCAUAUAUGUUUUUCCUUUUUUUUUUUUAAAUUUUUAUGCUGGUGAUUAUAAAAGAGACUCAUAUAUUUAGUAUAUAUUUCUUUGUUUAAGAUCGGGAAAUAGAGAAAUUAAAUUUCCGAGAACCAAACUAUAUUUUCUUCUAUGGUUUUAUUUAAAAUCCUAUGAGUCACACGGCUUCAUACGGAACCUUGUGGAAGUGGAGAGCCUUCACAUAUCAAGAUGCAGCUGGUUGCUGUACUUGCUGGCCUGCUCCCUUAAUUGGCCUUGCCUUCAGGAGUUAUCAGUCAGCGAAAGGAGUUUUUAAUACAUGCUAUGGCUAAUCUGUGCGGGGUGCCUGGUGCACUCGAGCUGCUGAAAUUGAAAUGCUGCGAGGGUUGGGACGGGAACAUAAUAUCUUACCCCCGGACACUGAGGGAGCUUGUGAUAGAUUCACAUGCUUGCUUCCUACCACUUACCGUCAUCAUUCCCAGGUUGCACAUACUUCAUUUGCGAGGAUGCUGGUGAUGUCAAAAAUUGGACUGGAUCAAAGUAUCUUCCAUUGCCGAAGCUGAGCUCGGCUUCUACCCCGGACAGGACAUGGAAGCAGUGUAUGACCAUUACGGCAUGCUCAAGAGGAUUUCCAACAAGCGGCAGCAUGUUUCAACUUUACACAUCAGUUAUUGGUGUCAUGAGUUUAAUAGAAAACGGGACCAUGCUCUCCUUAAUGAUCGAGACGAGCGAUUGCGGAAGGAUGCAUUUGAGAGGCUCGUCAAGCAUCUAAAGUAUGUGAAGGCUGUAGUCACCAAGUGGUCGGAUGCUAGGAUGGGACGAGCAAUGACAAGAGCUUUCAAUUUGAGGAAUGGAGGAGAGGAAAUUGUUCGAUUAGUGGCUCAUCAGAAUUCAGGCUAUCCGAGAGUUUAACCCUAAUAUUACAUGCAUAAAAACUCAUGGCAAUCGCCAGAGCACAUAUAACCGGCGAUUGCUAUGUUUUCUCAUAAACAAUUUUGUUUCCAUGUAAAAUUCAACCGUUCAAUAGAUCAAUCUCAGUUUCUUUGA